rnacentral:lncRNA from 1 species
GAAUGUUUUAAAGGGAUAAACAGCUGCAUUAUAAAGACUGCAUAGUCUUCAUAAUGCAACCUUCUGCCAAUGCCAUAGUUGUCAGCACACAGAGCUAAAUGCAGCACACCUGGUCCUUUGCAUGUUUGUGUGACUCCAUGGUUGUGUGAGCGGUGCGUCUGUGAGCUAUGAAUGGGUAGAGAGGGGUGUUCUCUCCCAGACACCAUAGCAGCAGUGAGAUGAGGAGUGCCAUCUACUCUGCUGCACAUUUGCUGCACUAGCAGAGGAGGAAGACGAAGGGGGAAAAAGGGAGGAAGAAGGACUCCUGACACCAGCUGAGGCUCAAGCUGCGAGUUCUGCCAAGUAUUCACUGUGGCCUUUUGGCUUUCAACCAAUCAGAGUUGCACAGUCGGUGUUUGAACAAGCACAAGGUGAUCUCCAUCUAAAGUGAAUCCUCUGAGGCAAUGGAACAAAAGACCAGCGAGUCUCCCACCUCCACCUCUCCCCAGAGGCAGUUGAAGAACAGGUCCAAAUCUAUAGAGGAGACACAGCAUUCAAAGAGGACCUUUGCGUCCCAAAAGUCACUCCCUGGGAGGCCUGAACUGGAGAGAGUGAAGGAGAUUCCUGAUGAGACACCCACGGCCUCCACUGAAGAGCUGAAGUGAACAAUCAUUGUCCUGUCAUCAUGAAGAUCAACACAUGUACAUAUGAAACAAAUAAUGUGGAUAUUGGUUUCAUUAUAGAACAUUAAUAGCAAAUAAGGUUUGAAAAACACAAGACACCGCAUUGAUUUUAAACGCACAUGCACACACAGACACACACACAUCCAUUAGUGGGGAUGAAGCUUUCUCAUUGUGCUGUUAGUUACGUGACGAUACCUGAUGAAUGUCUACUGACAAUAAAGCAAUGUCAUUAAGUGAAUUGUUCUUUAUU